AACGAACGCUGGCGGCGUGCCUAACACAUGCAAGUCGAACGAGAAAGGGGCUUCGGCUCCGAGUAAAGUGGCGCACGGGUGAGUAACACGUGGGUAACCUGCCUCUAAGAUUGGGAUAACUCGUCGAAAGAUGAGCUAAUACCGAAUAAGACCACAGUUCCCGCGCGAACAGGGGUCAAAGGUAGCCUCUGCUUGCAAGCUAUCACUUAGGGAUGGGCCUGCGCACCAUUAGCUAGUUGGUAGGGUAACGGCCUACCAAGGCAAAGAUGGUUAGCUGGUCUGGGAGGAUGAUCAGCCACACUGGAACUGAGACACGGUCCAGACUCCUACGGGAGGCAGCAGUGGGGAAUAUUGCGCAAUGGGCGAAAGCCUGACGCAGCAACGCCGCGUGAGUGAUGAAGGCCUUCGGGUCGUAAAGCUCUGUCGGGAGGAACGAAUGCUCCCGAGGUUAACAGCCUCGGGAGGUGACGGUACCUUCAAAGGAAGCACCGGCUAACUCUGUGCCAGCCGCCGCCGUAAAAC
rnacentral:rRNA from 1 species